AGAAAAGGUUUCAAUCGUUUUUCCACUGUUCGUUUGAGCCAUUGUGGAUUUUAGAAACGCUUCAAUUAAGGGCUGUGUUUUAAUGUAGGUUUACCCUGCCGGUACGUUUUGAUAACUAUGCUAAUUGGCUGCUAAUGCGGUUAUCGUCUAGAACUACAAAUGCCUGUCUCAAGCUUAACGACACUCACCAGGGCCUUGAAGAUCUGGACGAUACUGCCACAUUGAGGCAAAGAACCAGUGGGUGUGCCUGAGUCUUGCCACCUCUCAAAAAGGUACGCUGUUUCAACCUGGAACACUAUUCUCCUGCUUUAGUCUGUUUCAGACAUUGCAGGAAGACGUUGCAUGGGUUUAUUGAUAUAUAACACAUGCUCCACUCUCAAGUUGAACUUGUUGACUGAUGUCAUGGCGGUGGCUGCCGAGACGACAGCAGCUGCGAACCAGAAGACUGCAUCCCAGGUCCACACCUGCCCUGUCUGUCGGUUAAGUAGUAUUGAUGCAGACCCGAAGACGUUCAAGCAGCACUUUGAGAGCAAGCAUUCCAAGUCUACAGUGUUCCCAGUACUGGUUGAUGUGCAGGCCUAAGGAAGCACAUACACCAGCUGUAGUUCCAUUUGAUUGCACACGAUGACCACGAAUUGAAUGCUGCAACUGAGACGGAAUGACGUCAAGGGACACACACUGAGACCCAGAGAAAGACUGACACUGGCUGAAGGAGAAGAGGAUCUGGUUAGCUGAAGUAAGGUUAUUGGGCUAAUAUCAACUAGAUAGCUAGUUCUUUUUUUGCAGAGAAUCUUAGUAUUCGUGGCAUGUUAUAAAUACUAGACAUCUAAUAGGAUAGAGUUCUAUGCAAGACUAAAUGCAAAAGCAAAUAUUAGUUCAAUAAGAGAACAGUAAAUACACUUUAAAAAAAAAACUUUUCAUUUUGGAUCACGGUAGCUAGCAAGUUGACAGCGACGGUGUCAGCUAGAGAUGAUGUGCAGGAACUUGCAGUCUUGUAUGAUAGCUACUUUGAUGGUAAUUAUCAUUUUCAAAUCUGAGUAAAUAGAGCACGGUAUAUUGAUAAGUCACCUUGUCGGAGAGAUUCACACGGUAUCAAAACGUUUUGAGUGUUAGGCGCCCAAGUUAUUUUGUUUUCUUUCCCUAUGGUUUGUCGAGAAGCCUCUGGAAGGUUCUAGUUGGUGGCAUUGACUGAAGGGUUUUAAGCAAAGCUAUUUCUGGACCACCGGGGACAGGGUACAACUGUGGUGCAGAUGGGGGAUAUUUAUAACACUUGACACCAAACGGUAGCAAUGAUCACAACCCUCUGAACCGAAAAGAGCUACGAGCGUGAGAGUGAAAUGUUUUCUCUACCUGAUCAUUACUUUUAUUCAGGGGAAAUUACAUUAUGGUCUGCCUCACUGUGAUCAUGGUGCGAGCAAAGUAAACACUGUCAACGAAUCCCCUUAACUACAACUGAACUAUAUUUUUACAGGAAACAAUUCACUUGCUUAUGAAUGUUAUUAAAGGAGCUUGACUUUUGAGUCCCUCUAGAAAAAGCCCUUGAAAUGGGGAAAUCCUCCAAUAACAAAUGCUUGAUUCUGUUACAGAAUGCUUUGUUACAGUGACUGUUG